UUUGGGGUGCCCACUUUAAUCCAAUUGGGCUCACGUCAUAAUCUGAUUAUGGUGCCCAAUUUAAUAUAGUUUUGGCAUGUGGACACUCCACAAAAAUCUUCUAAUGAGCUUUCUUCAGUUUAAGACCCAUAUGUCAAUAUUUGACAGAUGUCCUAAAAUAAAAUUGGCAGGUGACAGGAAUUAGCAGGUGAUUGUCUUAAAUUCAUCUUAUAAAUUAAGACAAACCUUUUCUGAGCUGGACAAGCUUCAUUUAGACUGAGAAAAACCUUCUCAAGGUUCUUUGGGUGAGUCAAAUCAUAUU
rnacentral:lncRNA from 1 species